ACUCCACAGAAGUUCAUCCCUGUGGCCUCUCUUCCUCUGAGGUACAGGGUGUUCUGUCUUGCAGCCUCCCCUCAACCCUGCCCCUGGGGGUGCUUGGACCUGGCUCUGGACCUGUGCUCCAGGAAUUACCUGAAACAUGGAAGAAUCUUAAAAAGAUUGACUUCACUGUAAAGCAUGAAGCGGUACCUCUACAGUCCAAAGAAGUGUUGGUUAUCAGAAGAAAAUGUGUACUUUUGGAGCGGCCUAAUUGACGAGUCCAGCAAUUUUCUGUGAAGUGUUGACAGCGAGCAGACCUUUGUUUGCAGAGAAAAGGAUGCGAUCCUCGGUACAUUGCAGAGGCCCGGCACUCACAGUCCCCUAUUAGCUUUGUGCAUUACUGACCUCCACAGGCAUUUCAGGGGAAGACACAGCAGGAAGAGACGAAGAUUGCUCAACUGAAUGCCCUUAUAAACAUGCUGUUAAGGGAACUCACCCCUGGUGAUCAUCAGAACAUCAUGACAAUAUGCACAAUUGAUGUACAUGCGAGGGAUGUUGUAGCCACGGUUAUAGCACAGAAGAAAUCCCAUUGCUAACCUUUGUUCUCUAAAGAAGGAUGUCAAAGUAUAUUGAGAGGCAUUGAUUCACCAUUUUAGUCCUGAGUUAAGAGCGACAGACUGGGUAAUAUCACCUCAAUAGUGCUUAUGCUGACCACUACUGUGUGUAAAGCAAAAAUGUCCAACUUCAAAGCUUACAGUAAGGCUUGUUCUUGAUGGCAGUGUAAACAACCUAAGAAAAUCAUAUUCUGCAGUUGCUUCUAAAGUGCUACAACCCUAAAAGCAUGAACAAAUAUAACAUAAAACUGUGAAACAUGUUUGUUUCUUCAGCUUAAUGCAAUGCUAUCACUCUCCAAGUAUAAUUUUGUAAGUUUGGAAAUAGUUAUAAGAGCAAUACCUUCCUUGCAUGUGACAACAACAGCUGAUGAGAAAAGCAGGGAAGUUUGAUCACUUAGAUUUCACCAACUGGGAAGAGGGAGCUAUCAAUUCUCUUAGUAAAGCUGUGGGAUCAAUCUGUUGGAGAGGUGUAAAAGAAAAAAAAAGGAGGGUGACUCAUGGAGUGGAAAGUGGAAAGAGAAAGCAUCUUGAUCAGGAAAGGACAAAAGAAAUAGUCUGAUUCCUCAGAAGCCAAUGGAGGCAGGCCUGCAAGCAAAGUACAAGGUGAGCAGUUUACAGCAAUAACAAGAAAUACUGCAGGGUUAGAGGAUCAUGCAGAGAUGGUCACAGAAGAAAGCAGAAGUACUGCAGUGCU